rnacentral:rRNA from 2 species
AGACCCGAAACCCGGUGAUCUAGCCAUGGGCAGGUUGAAGGUUGGGUAACACUAACUGGAGGACCGAACCGACUAAUGUUGAAAAAUUAGCGGAUGACCUGUGGCUGGGGGUGAAAGGCCAAUCAAACCGGGAGAUAGCUGGUUCUCCCCGAAAGCUAUUUAGGUAGCGCCUCGUGAAUUCAUCUCCGGGGGUAGAGCACUGUUUCGGCUAGGGGGCCAUCCCGGCUUACCAACCCGAUGCAAACUGCGAAUACCGGAGAAUGUUAUCACGGGAGACACACGGCGGGUGCUAACGUCCGUCGUGAAGAGGGAAACAACCCAGACCGCCAGCUAAGGUCCCAAAGUCAUGGUUAAGUGGGAAACGAUGUGGGAAGGCCCAGACAGCCAGGAUGUUGGCUUAGAAGCAGCCAUCAUUUAAAGAAAGC